UUGAGUCAUGUUGUAAUGUUAAAUGUGAGAAAUUGCUUUGUAAAUUAGUGCAGGCUGGUCUACAUUCUUCAGAAUGAAUUUGAAGUCAUAUAAAAUAGGCUGAAUAAUAUCAUUUCCCCCAGCCCUCCAGAAAAGUGUCUGCUUAUUCACCCCCCCCCCGGAAGUGUUAUUGUUAUACAGCAAAACGGACUUUGCCAAGGUGAUUGAGUAAAGACUUUUGAGACAGUAGGUGCUAAAUGUAAUGAGUCAGGUAAGAGGCUUCUUAGAGGAAGAUCAAGGAAGGAAGGAGGUAGCGUGCCAAUGGAGACAGUGUGGAGUGAUGUGGCCAUGAGCCAAGGAACACAACAGCUUUUAGAAGCAGGAAACAAGCAGUGGCUUCUGUGGGCCCUGCAGAAGGGACCUGCUCUGCUCUCAGCAUCCCACUCAGACUUCCAGCCUCUCCAACGGUAACAGAAUCACUAGGUGAUCUUAAGCUACAUGCUUUUUGGUAAUCUGUUGCAGCAGCCAUAGAAGACCACUUUUAAUGCAACCACUUUCAGUGAAAUAGGUACUUUUGAAAUGCAUCACCUCCUGAACUGCUGGCAGCCACAGGGUGGCCGCAGGGUGGCCUCAUCCCUGAGUCAAUUAGAAGGUAAAGAUGGGGAUUUCCCGGUGAGUUGAAUUCUCUGAUAGGAUCAUCAGGUUCAAAUUAUACCAUGGGGCUCAUGAACACAACUGAUUGCCGGAGUGGGGCCACUCUGGAAUUCUUGGGAGGAAGUCAGCUGAUUCCCCAGCCAAGCUGCAAUGCUGAUGGACAGGAAGUGACACUUCCCCUUGGGAGACUGUGUGCCACUCAGGAAACCAUUUCCUGUCAGUUGAAGUGCCUUUUAAUAGCUGGGAAAAGCUUGGGAAAAUCAAGUGGUGAGACAUGGAAAAAGGUUUCUUAGUUUAUUUACUUUGGCUCUCUGCAAUGUUCUCAAGCUCCAGCAGAUGGGUGACUCUGGAGAAAACAGAAGUAAUUGCAAUUAAAGGCAUCCUUGAUCGACUCUUUGAGAAGUCACAUUGCCUGAUGCUACACGUGAGAGAAGUUCUGAGAGAGAGGAACAAGAAAUAGAAGACGAGUCACAACCUUGGGCCUGUAUUCCAACAUAGACCUGCUACGUUGAACAUUCAUGUAGCGUCCAAAUCCAUCUGAAUCCUUCUCACCCAGGAAGACGCUGGGAUGGGCUGCUUCAGCGCUGUGUCCCUGCAGCCCUGAGUCACUCCUCAAGUCCCAGGAGGCCGAGGCCAUUCUUCCUGACUCCUACAGGGCCCAGAAUGUCCCCUCCUCUUACACAAGCUCCCAAGAACUCCCCCAGAGACUGCUCUGAUAUCUAGGAUAUUUGGAACUUGAACUUGUAAUGCACCUUAAGAGAAGAGCACUGAAGGAUACUGAAGGAACAACCCAUGUAGGUGUGUAGGUGUGCCUGGUGCUUGGUGCAACCCAAAUGUCAGUCUCCUAAGUGUCUCAUGCCUUUUUGGCUUCUGUGAAUUACCUCUCUCUGAGGUUCUUCAAUAAAAAGAUCUUGAGAAAAAAAAAAAGAGAGAAAAAACCUACACCUGAUCUCUACACAGGCCGACAGCCAAGGAACGUAUCACUUCAGCUGGUGCAGCAGAACAUGUUGGCAAAAACUGACAGAGGAAGGCACGGUGGUGGCAAAGGGCCAUAGCUGGACUCCAUGAGGUGUGCAGAAAGCCAACUCUUUCUCCAGGAGGGCGGCUGUAGGAAUCAAUUUGGACAACUUUUCCUUGUACUACUGGCUUCCAUCACCCCCAUGCCAGUGACUGGUUUUCUGCUUGUCUGUCUCAUGCACUCAGAUUUGGCAGUUCCACAGCAACACCUGGAAAAGCAACCAGCCUACCCUGAAGAAAAUAAACACAAGUUUUUCUGAACUCUCAUGGUGUGCAGCUGAGACAGACUUUGGAAAAUAACCAAGAGAAAAACAAGAACAAAGCAAGUUUACUCACAUAAGCAACAUGCACUACACUGGAAAAAAAGACCCACAAAGCACUGGCUUAGCAAUCUAUUCUCAGUCAGACCUCAGCAAAGAGCGAUGCAUUUCAGAGAGAAAGCAUGACCAAGGAAAAGCUGUUACGGUCUUCAGAGAAAGGAAAAACUGUGAGGCGUAUGGAAGGAAGUCUGCUUAGAAAAUUGUACUCCAAAACUCACUACUUUGGCAAGCCGAACACUGUGGAAUGAAAAGAAACUGGAAGACCUUAGAAAAUAUCUCAGAAUCAAGGACUUGCUAACCUUCUCUUGCUUUUCUCUGCCAAGUUCAGGGAAGCACUCUCUUCGGGGAAUUCACUUACCUGACUGAGGAAAAUCCUUCCAGCAGAAAUGUAAUUAUCUUACUGCCCCUCCUGAGGAAUCUCAUUGAAUAACCAGCCUUGAUAACCCACCCGGCAGGAGGAGACAAGCUCACACCUGGCAGACCAAGGCAGGUCCGAGACAUGACCUGCACAAGUCUGCCUUUGUUAGAGGUGAAAUCUCCUCUUCUCCCAGGCCUGGAACUGCUGCCACGUCCUGCAGCACCCCCAAGCCCGUGUCGCCAACAGCCUCCGGCCUCCCUGACAAGGCCUCCGUCGGAGGGUCUGGACCGCUGCACUCAGUGGGCUUCUCACCCCAAGGUGUCUUCUUUGCUCACCGUCCGUGUCCAAGUGGAAAUGCUUCUUUGACAUGAGACAAACACUGAGGUCACCUUCUUCACUCUGUGCCACUUCCACAGGGCUGUCACACAUGAUUUACACCCUGCCCAGAACAUUCUCUGGCCCUCUCUCCCAAGCUGCACCUCUGCUUAAUUCAUACUCCCUAGAACAGAAGCGCCUGUAGGUAAAGAUCACAUUUGUUGUACUCAUCUUUGUACCCCUAAUGCCCAGCACACUGCCCACUAUUUCAACAGGAGGUUUUGAAAUAUCCAUUGAGCUGGCAACACACCCAAAUGUCAAUAUUUACUAGGUCGUUUGAAAUGUAAGAGAGAUCAGUACCAGAAAAAUACAUUUGGGGAUCAUCCUAACAGCGCUGAUACCGGCAGAAAGG